GUCGAACGAACUCUGGUAUUGAUUGGUGCUUGCAUCAUGAUUUACAUUUGAGUGAGUGGCGAACUGGUGAGUAACACGUGGGAAACCUGCCCAGAAGCGGGGGAUAACACCUGGAAACAGAUGCUAAUACCGCAUAACAACUUGGACCGCAUGGUCCAAGUUUGAAAGAUGGCUUCGGCUAUCACUUUUGGAUGGUCCCGCGGCGUAUUAGCUAGAUGGUGGGGUAACGGCUCACCAUGGCAAUGAUACGUAGCCGACCUGAGAGGGUAAUCGGCCACAUUGGGACUGAGACACGGCCCAAACUCCUACGGGAGGCAGCAGUAGGGAAUCUUCCACAAUGGACGAAAGUCUGAUGGAGCAACGCCGCGUGAGUGAAGAAGGGUUUCGGCUCGUAAAACUCUGUUGUUAAAGAAGAACAUAUCUGAGAGUAACUGUUCAGGUAUUGACGGUAUUUAACCAGAAAGCCACGGCUAACUACGUGCCAGCAGCCGCGGUAAUACGUAGGUGGCAAGCGUUGUCCGGAUUUAUUGGGCGUAAAGCGAGCGCAGGCGGUUUUUUAAGUCUGAUGUGAAAGCCUUCGGCUCAACCGAAGAAGUGCAUCGGAAACUGGGAAACUUGAGUGCAGAAGAGGACAGUGGAACUCCAUGUGUAGCGGUGAAAUGCGUAGAUAUAUGGAAGAACACCAGUGGCGAAGUAAACGAUGAAUGCUAAGUGUUGGANGGUUUCCGCCCUUCAGUGCUGCA
rnacentral:rRNA from 1 species